GAUGAACGCUGGCGGCGUGCCUAAUACAUGCAAGUCGAGCGAACAGACGAGGAGCUUGCUCCUCUGACGUUAGCGGCGGACGGGUGAGUAACACGUGGAUAACCUACCUAUAAGACUGGGAUAACUUCGGGAAACCGGAGCUAAUACCGGAUAAUAUAUUGAACCGCAUGGUUCAAUAGUGAAAGACGGUAUUGCUGACACUUAUAGAUGGAUCCGCGCCGCAUUAGCUAGUUGGUAAGGGAAGGGCUUACCAAGGCAACGAUGCGUAGCCGACCUGAGAGGGUGUUCGGCCACACUGGAACUGGACCACGGUCCAGACUCCUACGGGAGGCAGCAGUAGGGAAUCUUCCGCAAUGGGCGAAAGCCUGACGGAGCAACGCCGCGUGAGUGAUGAAGGUCUUCGGAUCGUAAAACUCUGUUAUUAGGGAAGAACAAAUGUGUAAUUAACUAUGCACGUCUUGACGGUACCUAAUCAGAAAGCCACGGCUAACUACGUG
rnacentral:rRNA from 1 species